rnacentral:rRNA from 1 species
CUUUACUGUAGCUUUACAUUGGACUUUGAACAGAUCUGUGUAGGAUAGGUGGGAGGCUUUGAAGUGAGGACGCUAGUUCUCAUGGAGCCAACGUUGAAAUACCACCCUGGUGUGUUUGAGGUUCUAACCUUGGCCCGUUAUCCGGGUUGGGGACAGUGUAUGGUGGGCAGUUUGACUGGGGCGGUCUCCUCCCAAAGUGUAACGGAGGAGUUCGAAGGUACGCUAAAUACGGUCGGAAAUCGUGUUGAUAGUGCAUUGGCAUAAGCGUGCUUGACUGCGAGACUGACAAGUCGAGCAGGUACGAAAGUAGGACAAAGUGAUCCGGUGGUUCUGUAUGGAAGGGCCAUCGCUCAACGGAUAAAAGGUA